GAUGAAGAACGAAGCGAAAUGCGAUAAGUAGUGUGAAUUGCAGAAUUCAGUGAAUCAUCGAAUCUUUGAACGCACAUUGCGCCCCUUGGUAUUCCAUGGGGCAUGCCUGUUCGAGCGUCAUUUGUACCUUCAAGCUUUGCUUGGUGUUGGGUGUUUGUCCCGAGGGACUCGCCUUAAAGUAAUUGGCAGCCAGUGUUUGGUUUUGAAGCGCAGCACAAGUCGCGAUUCAAGGCUACACGCCCGCUUCCACAAGCCUUUUUUCACUUUUGACCUCGGAUCAGGUAGGGAUACCCGCUGAACUUAAGCAUAUCAAUAAGCGGAGGA
rnacentral:misc_RNA from 1 species